CUGGCGGCGUGCUUAACACAUGCAAGUCGAACGAGGAUGCAGGAGAGCUUGCUCGAAUGCAUCCGAGUGGCGGACGGGUGAGUAACGCGUGAGGAACCUGUCUCAUACAGGGGGAUAACGCAUCGAAAGAUGUGCUAAUACCGCAUAGGACCACGGAGGGGCAUCCUUCUGAGGUGAAAGGAGCAAUCCGGUAUGAGGUGGACUCGCGUCUGAUUAGAUAGUUGGUGAGGUAACGGCCCACCAAGUCAACGAUCAGUAGCCGACCUGAGAGGGUGAUCGGCCACAUUGGGACUGAGACACGGCCCAGACUCCUACGGGAGGCAGCAGUGGGGAAUAUUGGGCAAUGGGCGAAAGCCUGAACCCCCAGCAACGCCGCGUGAAGGAAGAAGGUUUUCGGAUCGUAAACUUCUGUCCUAUGUGAAGAGUAGCAGACGGUAGCAUAGGAGGAAGCCCCGGCUAACUACGUGCCAGCAGCGGC
rnacentral:rRNA from 1 species